UUGGACGCUGGCGGCAGGCCUAACACAUGCAAGUCGAGCGGUAACACAGGGAGCUUGCUCCUGGGUGACGAGCGGCGGACGGGUGAGUAAUGUCUGGGAAACUGCCCGAUGGAGGGGGAUAACUACUGGAAACGGUAGCUAAUACCGCAUAACGUCUUCGGACCAAAGAGGGGGACCUUCGGGCCUCUUGCCAUCGGAUGUGCCCAGAUGGGAUUAGCUAGUAGGUGGGGUAAUGGCUCACCUAGGCGACGAUCCCUAGCUGGUCUGAGAGGAUGACCAGCCACACUGGAACUGAGACACGGUCCAGACUCCUACGGGAGGCAGCAGUGGGGAAUAUUGCACAAUGGGCGCAAGCCUGAUGCAGCCAUGCCGCGUGUAUGAAGAAGGCCUUCGGGUUGUAAAGUACUUUCAGCGAGGAGGAAGGCGUUAAGGUUAAUAACCUURGCGAUUGACGUUACUCGCAGAAGAAGCACCGGCUAWCUCCGU
rnacentral:rRNA from 1 species